rnacentral:rRNA from 1 species
UACGUAGGUGGCAAGCGUUGUCCGGAAUUAUUGGGCGUAAAGGGCUCGCAGGCGGUUUCUUAAGUCUGAUGUGAAAGCCCCCGGCUCAACCGGGGAGGGUCAUUGGAAACUGGGAAACUUGAGUGCAGAAGAGGAGAGUGGAAUUCCACGUGUAGCGGUGAAAUGCGUAGAGAUGUGGAGGAACACCAGUGGCGAAGGCGACUCUCUGGUCUGUAACUGACGCUGAGGAGCGAAAGCGUGGGGAGCGAACAGGAUUAGAUACCCUGGUAGUCCACGCCGUAAACGAUGAGUGCUAAGUGUUAGGGGGUUUCCGCCCCUUAGUGCUGCAGCUAACGCAUUAAGCACUCCGCCUGGGGAGUACGGUCGCAAGACUGAA